AGCUGCAGCACCUUUGAAUGUUCACCCCAGGAGGCUCCACACCCUAGAAGAUAACUUGAGUUCCUGAUGUUGCCAUGGGCUUCAGGUUCUUCUGCUGUGUGACCCUUUGUCUCCUGGAAGCAGGUCCAGGGAAUGCUGGGGUCACUCAGAUCCCCAAGUUCCAGGUCCUGAAGAUAGGCCAGCACAUGACACUGAGCUGCACCCAAGAUCUGAAACAUGAGAGCAUGUACUGGUACCGACAGGAUCCAGAGCUGGGGCUGAGGCUCAUCUAUUACUCAUAUGAUGUUAACGACACUAAAAAAGGAGACAUUCCUGAUGGGUACACUGUGUCCAGAUCAAGUAGUGAGAACUUCCCCCUCAAUCUGGAGUCAGCCAGCCCCUCCCAGACGUCUGUGUACUUCUGUGCCAGUAGUUACUCCACAGUGUUACACAGCCGCCUCCUCUCUGCACAUUAA